rnacentral:lncRNA from 1 species
GUUGGAAUGCAGAAAAUACCCAUCACAUGUUCUCCCAUCAUUCCAGAGCAAGGACAACUGAAAAGGCUCCCAGAAGCAUAUGCCCCUCCCUUAAAUCAUCUUCUGGGAAAGGAUGAAGAUAAAGUGAGGUAUGAGGCAUAUAUGGUUCUCUGUGGUGCGUCAUUUUAAGAAACUCCAAAGUCUGCUUCUCAGAGUGAAAUACUAUAUUCCACAUAUGACUCAUGGGGUAGAAAUUUACUUGAAUGCAGAAAAUACCCAUCAAAUUUUCUUCCAUUGUACCAGGUAGGUGGGUUCAUCUCAUUCAAGUUCUCUGCAGCAGAGUUUUGGGGUUUAUGAGAGAGGCUGAGAUUAUGUCUUAAACUUAGUUAUAAAGAGGAAACAGACAUCUGAGGGUCCAGACCUCUGGGCCAGGGAUGGCUAAGAAACUGAAGGAAGACAGUGAGUCAUAAUGCUUCUGUACCACCCUCCUAGUGACCAACAGCAAGGUCACUGAGAUCUGGGGAAAGCAACUAGUGAUUUCUAGAAGUAUUUAUAUGUGGUCACUUACUCUACAAGGAUUCAUUGACAACCUACUAAGAGCAGGCAUUGCACCAGGAGCUGAGGGAUUUAGGGGGAAGAAAGCAGUCUCUAUCCUGAAAGAGCUUGAAGCACAGACAACUCUACUUGAGUCAGCUUACUAAGGGAAUUUAUUCAUCUGCUCUGUAGCUCUGUGUAGAAGGGGCAUGUCUGAAAGUUUCAUGAUAAUGGGAAUAGGAGUUGCAAAGUUGAGGAAGAAAAAGAGGAAACAAGGCAAUUCCAAGCUACAAAGUAAAAAUAAAAUCUAACCAGGGGUGUUGCAUUCCAUGUGUUACAUAGAUCAUUUCCAGUCUUACAAUAGACAGGCAAGAAGUGGCAUUACAAAGCUCUUUUCCUCAUUUCACAGAUGAGUUACAUGUGGCAGGUGAGGGUAAUUUUUUGUGCAAAGUCACAAAAAAGAAUUGGGAUGGAAUGCCAUGCAGGCUUGAUGUGAAAUUCUUGGUCUUUUAAAUUCCUG